rnacentral:rRNA from 1 species
CCUACGGGAGGCAGCAGUGAGGAAUAUUGGUCAAUGGGCGCGAGCCUGAACCAGCCAAGUAGCGUGAAGGAUGACUGCCCUACGGGUUGUAAACUUCUUUUAUAAAGGAAUAAAGUGAGGCACGUGUGCCUUUUUGUAUGUACUUUAUGAAUAAGGAUCGGCUAACUCCGUGCCAGCAGCCGCGGUAAUACGGAGGAUCCGAGCGUUAUCCGGAUUUAUUGGGUUUAAAGGGAGCGUAGAUGGGGUGUUGAGUCAGCGGUAAAAAUUCGGGGCUCAACCCCGUCCGGUCGUUGACACUGGGGGCCUGGAGUGGGCGAGAAGAAGGCGGAAUGCGUGGUGUAGCGGUGAAAUGCAUAGAUAUCACGCAGAACCCCGAUUGCGAAGGCAGCCUUCGGGCGCCCUACUGACGCUGAGGCACGAAAGUGCGGGGAUCGAACAGGAUUAGAUACCCUUGUAGUC